UACAUGAGGAGGUCAGACACCUGCACGCUGUACUGACCUGACGGGAAUCAGCACGCACCCACUGCGGAAGCUCUUUCUUCAAAGGACGAUGCUAAUCCUACCAGCAUGCAGUGAAACAAGGUCUCUUUGCGGUCAGGGACACGGAGUGAUAGAAACAGAGUCUCCUUCAAACAAGCACUUGUAUGCAAAUAUUCACUGCAGCAUCACUUAUAAAAGCGAAAGGUACAAACGACCUACAUGUGCAUCAGCUGACCAAUGGCUAAACAAAACGGACGCAUCCAUACAUGGAACGGUAUCCAGCCAUAAAAGGAACGGAAUACUGCUCUGAGCUACAACAUGCAUGGACCUCAAAAACCUUCUGAUAAGUGAAAGAAGUCAGACACCAAAAGCCACAUGUUGUAUGAUUCCAUUUGUAUGAACUGUCCAGAAUAGGCAGGUCCAUGGAGACAGAAAGCACAUUAGGGAUUGCUCGGGGCUGUGUGUGUGGGAGGACCGGGCAGUGACUGGUUAAUGGGUCCAGAGUUUCCUUUUGAGGUGAUGAGAAUGUUCCAGAACUCGGUAGUGGUGAUGGUUGCACAAUUUGGUAAAAGUACGAAAUGUCACUGAAUUGUACACUUUAAAUGGUAAGUUUUAUGUUAUUUUACCACAUGUAUACACGAAACCCAGAGUUCCCGCCCCUGCAUUCAAGUGAGAGGAGACAGAUGAUUAACAAAGAAAUAUAUAUUUAAGGUAAGUGCUGGGAAGACAAGACAGAUGGGCUAAGGUGCAGGGAAUGACAGGGAGGUGCUAUUUCAGUGAGUGGUUGCCUUUCUGAGGGGGAUGCCAGUGGGAGAGCCGAGGAAAUGGCCAAGAGGAGACCCUUCGGGCCACAGAAGCAGAAAGGGCAAAGGCCCUGAGGCAGGAAUAGGCCAAGGGUGUGGGGAACCAAGCUGCAGAAAGAGGGGCGCACAGGCGAUGAGAACAGAGGAGAAGAGGCUGGAGGCCCGUCGGGGAGGGCCUGUUGGCCAGAGCGCCCUGGGACCCUGAGGGCCCCAGGCAGGACACUGAAGGGAGCAAGUGUAGACGCCAGGAGGUUGUUGCAACGAGGAUUCCUGUCUGCUGAACGAACGGGCCCAGGAGACUGUAAGGCCUGCUUUGGAUGUCAAGCAAUCUAACAAGAGUUCUACCAGGGGCGCCUCCUCUCGAGGUCCCCAUGCAGCACAGUCUUGACGAAGGAGAUGCCUAACCAGGUCAGGAGUUUUUGCUUUCUGAGCGCAUUGCCUAGGUAUGUUUACUUUUCAUUCAGGUUCAUACUGAGCGACCCACUGUACUUCACAUGGUGGGUCUCCUCCCAUCCCCCUGCCUGGGGCACCCUGACCCCCUCCCCCUGCUUUCUCCUUCCCUAUUCACUCAUCACUGCCCUGCACAGGUGUGUAUAGCUGUCAUGGUUAAUUUCUGUGUCAGCUUGGCCAUGUAGUACCUGGUUAUUCAAUCAAACACCAACCUAGUGCUGCUGUGAAGGUAUUUUGUAGAUGUGGGAACAUGUACAAUCAGUUAACUUUAAGGAAAACGAUUUCUUGUUCUAGCUUGGGUGGGCCUCGUCUAAUCAGUUGAAAGGUCUUAACUACAGAAGUGAAAUUUCCCAACGGAAGAAGAAAAUCUGCCUCAAGACUGCAGCCUCAGCACCAGCCUGAGUUUCCAGGCUACCAGCCUACCCUACAGAUUUCAGACUUGCCAGUUUCCCCAAUCCCAUGAAGCAAUUCCUUGAAAUAAAUCUCUGUAUACAUAUACGUAUACAUGCACACAUGCAUGUUUCAUACUGGUUCCGUUUGGAGAACCCUAACAGGUGUGGUUUCUAUUUGCCAUUCCCCUGCCUCCAGGUGCACUUAAGUGCAAGGACUUACCCUUUUUCUUCCUAGCUGUGCCCCCCAGAACAGUGCCUGGCUUUGGGUCAGUUGGUAGUGUCUAAUGGGUAGCUCUUUAUAAUUCUUAUUUAUUUGUAUGGUUAUUGGAUCUGUUUGAAAAUUGAGAGAAAGAAAAAAAAAGGCACAUGAUUCUUAUCUGAGCUGGGGAUUUCCUUGUGGGGCCCAGGGAUGUGGGUCCUGCUGUUGAGUGGGUGUCUUUUUGCAGUAGAGCAAAAGGUGUUCCUGGGAAGAAAGGUUGCAAAUUUAAACUCAAGUUCAGAUUCUCCUGGCAGCAGUGCACGCCCUCGGGCUGCUGGCCUGGGAGGGUGAGGCGGGGGGGUGGGGGUGGGGGGGACCCAAGCACCAAACACGUGCAGCUGUGGCAGGUCCCGUUGCUAGGAGAACCGAACAGUGACUCCUGUUUGUAUCCAAGAGCGACCUAGGUGGGCGUUGCCUUUUGUUUCCCAAGUAAUUGUUUUAAAGCAAGGUGUGCGAGGAGCCAGCGCGUGGGGGAAUGAGGAACAAGGCUUGAGCCCAGAUGUGUGUUUGUUUAGGAACUAGUGGUUAGUGCAAAGCCUCUUGUUUCAGAAUAUGUCCCAAAGGGGUUUGCAAUUAGGGACAGAAUCUGUAGGAGCUGAGGAAACAACCAAUUCCCCAUACUGUUUGGUUCUCGGCCUCCACGGGCCAUCUGCAUCAGAGCAGGAAGUGUGGGAUUGCGGGUGGGGUGGAGGAAUGAAAAGCAUCAAGCUGGCCUCGGCUGGGGCCCGGAGGGAUUUGGGUUUCCAGAUUUUGUGUUCGCUUAAUUACAUUCACAGACCAUCCUGACCUCAAUGCCAUGAGGUUGGGGCAUGGGAGAACAGGAGGGGGGGGGGGCAUGUUCCAUUCACGAUCGCCCUUUAUCUGUGUUCCCUCCAACUGGUAACCACCCUGUGCUACCACUUGCACUUUGCAAAAGAGGAAGCUGUUGCAGAAGGCCUGAGAAGUCUGAGGAAGAGACGGAGCUGAGAGCUGGGUCCAGCUCUGUCCCAUUCCCAAACCACCUUCUUUCUCCCACAUUGGCUGCCCAGAGAAGUCUCAGCUUCAGAAGGAGUGGGUCGCAGAAAAAAAAAAAUGCCGUGUUCAUCGAAUUGAUUUUAUUUUCCUCUUGGACAUUUGGAAAGACUAUUCCUGAGCUUCCACUGCAGUAAGGUGGUGGCAUGGGACUGAGCUUCUGGCCAACCCCAGAGGCUAACCGGACACACACCCCUGCCCAGCAUGAUUCUAAAACCUGCAUAUCCUCAACCUCUGUGUGCUUUCUUCCCACCUUCUGGGUAGAUGCGGAGGACCCAGGCGGGGCCCCAAGGCCCAGGAAGAUGGUGGAGUCAUAGGGAAGGUGCCUGGUUUUCUGAAUGAUUUCAUGAAGCAGGAUAUCCCUCCCCUUGACAUACCGGACUAUGAAUGAAAAACAAGCCUGUGUCGUAUCAAACCCUUGGCUUGGGAGGCUAUACGUUGCAGCAGUCAGGCUACAGUGAUCCGGAGAGAGUGUGUAGGAGGGUGUGUGACGACACCAUUUUUGUUGAAGGCACCUGGGUGGCUCCGUAGGAAGAGCAAGUGAGGAAACUGAGGCCAACAUCGAUGCAGAACUUUCCCCACUGUCAUCAGAACGUAAGUGGCAGAGCCAGGACCGGAGGACUGGAUGGAAGGUGUGCUGGUGAUCGAGCGGCGUCUGUCUCUCUAGAAUGUGCGCUAACCCUGCUUGAGGAUGAGGAAUUCUGCUUUCCCCCCUCACUGUCUACAACAAAGGCGGAAGGAAUUUGGGAGGCGUAGGUG